UUGUUAGAUAACGAAGUGAUUCGUAUUUUCAUGUAUGUGGAAAGUCCCCGAGCCGUUUCUCAGAAAUGAGUUAUUGGAAACAAUAAAAGCAUUUCCAUUGCAUUGUGUUUGAAAUCCUGAAGUUGAGACGAGUUUGGAACUUGUGAUGGAUUGAUGCAGAUUGCUUUAUGGUGCUUACUUUGGCUAAUAGACAGUUAUUCACUUGGCUAUCGUUGAUGACUUCCAAAACGGGGCUUAUGAUUAUCUAACA
rnacentral:RNase_MRP_RNA from 1 species